rnacentral:rRNA from 1 species
GACGACCUUUGGCGGCGCGCCUAACACAUGCAAGUCGAACGAGCGAGAGAGAGCUUGCUUUCUCGAGCGAGUGGCGAACGGGUGAGUAACGCGUGAGGAACCUGCCUCAAAGAGGGGGACAACAGUUGGAAACGACUGCUAAUACCGCAUAAGCCCACGGGUCGGCAUCGACCAGAGGGAAAAGGAGCAAUCCGCUUUGAGAUGGCCUCGCGUCCGAUUAGCUAGUUGGUGAGGUAAUGGCCCACCAAGGCGACGAUCGGUAGCCGGACUGAGAGGUUGAACGGCCACAUUGGGACUGAGACACGGCCCAGACUCCUACGGGAGGCAGCAGUGGGGAAUAUUGCACAAUGGGGGAAACCCUGAUGCAGCGACGCCGCGUGGAGGAAGAAGGUCUUCGGAUUGUAAACUCCUGUUGUUGGGGAAGAUAAUGACGGUACCCAACAAGGAAGUGACGGCUAACUACGUGCCAGCAGCCGCGGUAAAACGUAGGUCACAAGCGUUGUCCGGAAUUACUGGGUGUAAAGGGAGCGCAGGCGGGAAGACAAGUUGGAAGUGAAAUCUAUGGGCUCAACCCAUAAACUGCUUUCAAAACUGUUUUUCUUGAGUAGUGCAGAGGUAGGCGGAAUUCCCGGUGUAGCGGUGGAAUGCGUAGAUAUCGGGAGGAACACCAGUGGCGAAGGCGGCCUACUGGGCACCAACUGACGCUGAGGCUCGAAAGUGUGGGUAGCAAACAGGAUUAGAUACCCUGGUAGUCCACACCGUAAACGAUGAUUACUAGGUGUUGGAGGAUUGACCCCUUCAGUGCCGCAGUUAACACAAUAAGUAAUCCACCUGGGGAGUACGACCGCAAGGUUGAAACUCAAAGGAAUUGACGGGGGCCCGCACAAGCAGUGGAGUAUGUGGUUUAAUUCGACGCAACGCGAAGAACCUUACCAAGUCUUGACAUCCCUUGACAGGCAUAGAAAUAUGUUUUCUCUUCGGAGCAAGGAGACAGGUGGUGCAUGGUUGUCGUCAGCUCGUGUCGUGAGAUGUUGGGUUAAGUCCCGCAACGAGCGCAACCCUUAUGGUCAGUUACUACGCAAGAGGACUCUGGCCAGACUGCCGUUGACAAAACGGAGGAAGGUGGGGAUGACGUCAAAUCAUCAUGCCCUUUAUGACUUGGGCUACACACGUACUACAAUGGCGUUAAACAAAGAGAAGCAAGACCGCAAGGUGGAGCAAAACUCAGAAACAACGUCCCAGUUCGGACUGCAGGCUGCAACUCGCCUGCACGAAGUCGGAAUUGCUAGUAAUCGUGGAUCAGCAUGCCACGGUGAAUACGUUCCCGGGCCUUGCACA